rnacentral:tRNA from 1 species
UGGCUCAGUGGUUAAGAGCAUUGUCUGCUCUUCCAAAGGACCUGGGUUCAAUUCCCAG